rnacentral:rRNA from 1 species
UAACCUGCCUGUAUGACCGGGAUAACAGUUGGAAACGAAUGCUAAUACCGGAUAGGCAGAGAGGAGGCAUCUCUUCUCUGUUAAAGUUGGGAUACAACGCAAACAGAUGGAUCUGCGGUGCAUUAGCUAGUUGGUGAGGUAACGGCCCACCAAGGCGAUGAUGCAUAGCCGGCCUGAGAGGGCGAACGGCCACAUUGGGACUGAGACACGGCCCAA